rnacentral:rRNA from 1 species
UGGGGAAUUGUUCGCAAUGGGCGCAAGCCUGACGACGCAACGCCGCGUGGAGGAUGAAGGUCUUCGGAUUGUAAACUCCUGUCGAGCGGGACGAACACUUACUGGAUUAAUACUCUGGUGAGCUGACGGUACCGCGAGAGGAAGCCCCGGCUAACUCUGUGCCAGCAGCCGCGGUAAUACAGAGGGGGCAAGCGUUGUUCGGAAUUACUGGGCGUAAAGGGCGCGUAGGCGGCCUUCUAAGUCAGACGUGAAAUCCCUCGGCUCGACCGGGGAACUGCGUCUGAGACUGGAAGGCUUGAAUCCGGGAGAGGGAUGUGGAAUUCCAGGUGUAGCGGUGAAAUGCGUAGAUAUCUGGAGGAACACCGGUGGCGAAGGCGGCAUCCUGGACCGGUAUUGACGCUGAUGCGCGAAAGCCAGGGGAGCAAACGGGAUUAGAUACCCCGGUAGUCCUGGCCCUAAACGAUGAAUGCUUGGUGUGGCGGGUAUCGAUCCCUGCCGUGCCGAAGCUAACGCAUUAAGCAUUCCGCCUGGGGAGUACGGUCGCAAGGCUGA